ACGGGUGAGGAAUACAUCGGAAUCUACCUUUUCGUGGGGGAUAACGUAGGGAAACUUACGCUAAUACCGCAUACGACCUUCGGGUGAAAGCAGGGGACCUUCGGGCCUUGCGCGGAUAGAUGAGCCGAUGUCGGAUUAGCUAGUUGGCGGGGUAAAGGCCCACCAAGGCGACGAUCCGUAGCUGGUCUGAGAGGAUGAUCAGCCACACUGGAACUGAGACACGGUCCAGACUCCUACGGGAGGCAGCAGUGGGGAAUAUUGGACAAUGGGCGCAAGCCUGAUCCAGCCAUACCGCGUGGGUGAAGAAGGCCUUCGGGUUGUAAAGCCCUUUUGUUGGGAAAGAAAAGCAAUCGAUUAAUACCCGGUUGUUCUGACGGUACCCAAAGAAUAAGCACCGGCUAACUUCGUGCCAGCAGCCGCGGUAAUACGAAGGGUGCAAGCGUUACUCGGAAUUACUGGGCGUAAAGCGUGCGUAGGUGGUUGUUUAAGUCUGUUGUGAAAGCCCUGGGCUCAACCUGGGAAUUGCAGUGGAUACUGGGCAACUAGAGUGUGGUAGAGGGUAGUGGAAUUCCCGGUGU
rnacentral:rRNA from 3 species